CCCAAGAUACCUGCUUUGUUUUAUUUAAGAUUUAAUUUUAUUAUUUUUAAUUAUGUUGUAAGACUCUGGCAAGCCUUAACUUUCCCGAGGAGAUCCCUGUCCCCGUCCCCCAUCCCCCGUCCCAAGUGAACAAGGCAGAGCUGGGGAAUCAAUGCAAAAGCAAGAGGAAUUUUAUUGUCCCAGCAUGCUGGGGUAGGUAGCCCUGCAUACGAAGGAGAGAGAGCACAACCCCACACAGCCCAUUUGGUAACCACGCAACUGAGACAAAAAGAAGACAGAAGUGUUGUACCCGCCUUCAGUUGUCUCAGAUCACCAGAUCUGUCACCAGAGAGGCUCCAGGUCAUCACGGAUGAAAGAAGACUUUGCUCCGUGUCAGUCACCUUCAGACAGAAGCUCUGUGUUCUCAGGCACUCCCUGAAAGAAGGGUGACCGAAACUCACGGCAAAGUCAGCAGACUUUAUUUGCUUGGGUCACCGUGAAAGUCCAGAGGCAAUAGCUUCAGGAGGGACUGGAUCUAGUAGCUCA
rnacentral:lncRNA from 1 species